UACGUAGGGUGCAAGCGUUAAUCGGAAUUACUGGGCGUAAAGCGUGCGCAGGCGGUUGUGUAAGACAGAGGUGAAAUCCCCGGGCUCAACCUGGGAACUGCCUUUGUGACUGCAAGGCUUGAGUGCGGCAGAGGGGGAUGGAAUUCCGCGUGUAGCAGUGAAAUGCGUAGAUAUGCGGAGGAACACCGAUGGCGAAGGCAAUCCCCUGGGCCUGCACUGACGCUCAUGCACGAAAGCGUGGGGAGCAAACAGG
rnacentral:rRNA from 1 species